rnacentral:lncRNA from 1 species
AAAUCUCUAUAAAUAUUCCAUACUGUGUAUAAUUUGAGUUAAAUUUGCAGGUUGAUCAUAAUUGCUGUGCCAACCAGUACCAGAGGAAGCUGGACUGGACAUCGUGGAUGGCUCUUUCAGCAAAAUGUGCAAACCUGUCUUCAAGACAUUAAGGUGAAGAGGGAGGAAAUCUGGGACAAAACCAAAGAAGUUACCAAGAACAGAAAAGAGGGACAGUUUCCCUUAGCAAAAGGAAUCUGAUCCGAAGAUAAAUGUUUUAGAUCUUCUGAAAAAUGCAGAGUCACAGGCUCUGUCUACAAUGCCUUGGAAUGGGCCUGCGCAGAAGAAGCACUGGUGCUGUAGUGCUGAGCAGUGGGGCACUCAUGUUGCUCACAUUUCAAGGAAAUUUCAUUUUCCUCAGACUAGAUCCAGUUGGCCCCAAGGUUGAACAUCCAUCAGAGAUACUGGUGAAUUCAGAGGAAAUAUUUCCUGGUCCUGUGCCAUCCAGAAAGACUCCUGUAUGUGCACUCAAAAACCUUUCCAUAAGGUGACCCAAGUACAGUGAAGGGGAACUAUUGACUCAGGUUUAAAUAGCACUCCUGAUUUGAUCUAAAAUGCCACUGCCAGUGCAACAGCAUCACAAUUCUCUUAUAGCUCAAAGAAAGUAUUGUUAUGAUUUUGAGUGAUUUCUUCCAAAGACAGCUACAUUUAAUAUCCUUAAUAUUUUUCUCACUCUUUUUCUCAGAGUAAUUGCUUGUGACAUCAGGCAUUCCAAUUUUUUUCCUAUAUUCAUCUGAUAGUACAAAACCUGCAUUCUAAUCAGUGAGCUCAGCUAUGGUCAAAAGCUGAAAAAAAGAGGACAUGACAGCUCAUACCCACUGUUCUUUUAAUGUUUCAGAGAGUACAAUAGAACUGGUCAACAUUUUUUGCUUACAAAUACUUUUGAUGGAAAAAUGAAAAGACACUGAGAGAUGAAUCAAUGCCAUAGGAAACUGUUGACAAUCAGCUGGCUGUCUGCAACCACGGUUGAUGGCAAAAAGGAUGAACUUUAAAGAAUACAGUUGUUUGAAAUAAAAGUUAAAAAAGUAACA